CCUCCGAAACCUUCGAGUUCUCCUUGGAAGUAUCUGCAGAUGUUUCUCUCUUGUUGUUAUUGUUGUUGCUGGUGUUCUUGCUGUCGUUGUCGCUGUUGCUGUUCUGCUCCGUGAUCUUCGACUCUCCCUGUUCGACAUGGCGUAAAACAUUUGACAUGGCUUCAAAGGUCUUCUUGGAGAUGCAUUACAACUGGCACAAGCGCUUGACAAAUGAUAUUGCUAAGACCAUGCUAUUUCACACUGUGGAAAUUUUUAUCUGAACCUGGGGUGUUGGGAAGGAAGUAAACAUUUUGCUGUGGAAAUUUUUAUCUGACCUGGCGGGUGGUGGAAGGAAAGCUUGGUCCUUGUGCGCUUCUAGCAUCCAACUUAUAUUUACUAUUCUUGUAUAGGUAUUUUUAUCACCACAACGAAAUAAUUGUUGUAUUUUGUGUCAUAUAAAUUAAGUUCUGCCCUCAAAGUUGUCUUUUAUGGAGCUGUGUGUGACUUUAAUUUGAUUAUUCACUUUUCCCAUUCUGAAUUAUAAAAUCCAGU